AGAGUUUGAUCCUGGCUCAGGACGAACGCUGGCGGCGUGCCUAACACAUGCAAGUCGAACGGAAGCAAAGAUUUCGGUUUUUGCUUUAGUGGCGAACGGGUGAGUAACGCGUGAGGAACCUGCCUUUCAGUGGGGGACAACAGUUGGAAACGACUGCUAAUACCGCAUAAUGCUUUUGAGUGGCAUCACUUAAAAGCCAAAGAUUUAUUGCUGAAAGAUGGCCUCGCGUCUGAUUAGCUAGUUGGUGGGGUAAUGGCCUACCAAGACGACGAUGCGUAGCCGGACUGAGAGGUCGAUCGGCCACAUUGGGACUGAGACACGGCCCAAACUCCUACGGGAGACAGCAGUUAGGAAUAUUCGUCAAUGGGGGAAACCCUGAACGAGCAAUGCCGCGUGAGUGAUGAAGGUCUUUGGAUUGUAAAACUCUGUUGUAUGGAAAAAAUUGCUAGGUUAGGAAAUGAACUUAGUUUGAUGGUACCAUACCAGAAAGCCCCGGCUAACUACGUGCCAGCAGCCGCGGUAAUACGUAGGGGGCGAGCGUUAUCCGAAUUUAUUGGGCGUAAAGCGUGUGUAGGCGGUUUAUUAAGUUUAAGAUAAAAGCCCGGGGCUCAACUCCGGUUCGUCUUAAAAACUGGUAGACUUGAGUGUGGUAGAGGUAAAUGGAAUUUCUAGUGUAGCGGUGGAAUGCGUAGAUAUUAGAAGGAACACCAGUGGCGAAGGCGAUUUACUGGGCCAUUACUGACGCUGAGACACGAAAGCGUGGGGAGCAAAUAGGAUUAGAUACCCUAGUAGUCCACGCCGUAAACGAUGAGUACUAAGUGUUGGAAUCUCCAGUGCUGAAGCUAACGUAUUAAGUACUCCGCCUGAGUAGUACGGUCGCAAGGCUGAAACUCAAAGGAAUUGACGGGCACCCGCACAAGCGGUGGAGCAUGCUGUUUAAUUCGAAGAUACGCGAAGAACCUUACCUAGACUUGACAUCCCUGGCAAAGCUAUAGAAAUAUAGUGGAGGUUACCCAGGAGACAGGUGGUGCAUGGUUGUCGUCAGCUCGUGUCGUGAGAUGUUCGGUUAAGUCCGAUAACGAGCGCAACCCUUAUCCUUAGUUGCUAACAUUAAGUUGAGAACCCUAAGGAGACUGCCGAUGAUAAAUCGGAGGAAGGUGGGGAUGACGUCAAAUCAUCAUGCCCCUUACGUCUAGGGCUACAGGCGUGCUAUAAUGGCCAGUAUAAUGAGUCGCAAUACCGCGAGGUGGAGCUAAUCUCCAAAUCUGGUCUCAGUUCGGAUCGAAGUCUGCAACUCGACUUCAUGAAGUUAGAAUCGCUAGUAAUCCCGAAUCAGAAUGUCGGGGUGAAUACGUUCCCGGGUGUUGCACACACCGCCCGUCA
rnacentral:rRNA from 1 species